UAGGUGAACCUGCGGAAGGAUCAUUAGUGAAUUGCUCUUUGAGCGUUAACUACAUCCAUCUACACCUGUGAACUGUUGAUCAACUUCGGUUGAUUGCUUUACAAACAUUGUGUAAUGAACGUCAUGUUAUUAUAACAAAAAUAACUUUCAACAACGGAUCUCUUGGCUCUCGCAUCGAUGAAGAACGCAGCGAAAUGCGAUAAGUAAUGUGAAUUGCAGAAUUCAGUGAAUCAUCGAAUCUUUGAACGCAACUUGCGCUCUCUGGUAUUCCGGAGAGCAUGCCUGUUUGAGUAUCUUGAAAUCUCAACCAUUACGGUUUCUUAAUGGCUUGGAUUUGGUCGUUGCCAGGAUUCUGGCUUUGCUUAAUUUCUUUAC
rnacentral:misc_RNA from 1 species